AUGAGGGCCCCUGUGCAGCUCCUCAGCUUCCUGCUGCUCUGGCUCCCGGGUGCCAGGUGUGAUAUCCAGAUUACCCAGCCUCCUUCUGUGUCUGUAUCUCUGGGAGAGAAAGUCACCAUUACCUGCAAGACCAGUCAGAGUGUUGGCAUUUGGUUACACUGGUAUCAGCAGAAACCAGGGAAAGUGCCCAGGCUGAUGAUCCAUAAGGCAACCAAUUUAGUACAAAACGUCCCUCCCUGGUUCAGUGGCAGUAGAUCAGAGACAGAUUACACUCUCACCAUCAGCAGCAUGAAGCCUGAAGAUGCUGCCACUUAUUUCUGUCAACAGACUAGUAGUUUCUCUCCCACAGUGAUACACGCCAGAACAUAA